UUAUCCACUCAUCAGGUAUGCAACUUAUGGAAUGAAACUGCCUACAUGCAUGCAACUAUGCUAAAUGCUAGCUACUUUCUAUCUACACUACGAUUUCCUAUUGAUUUGGUCAAACAAGCAAACAAUUUUCACUCAAACAAAAUAGAGAAUUAGGGCCAAAACAAAGAAAUAGUGCAAUGUGAUCAAAAUCCAAAGAAUUAAUUCAAAUUUCAAAAUUAGGCAACUUGCAAGCAAACACCAAACAAGAGGUGGAGACAUAGAAUUGAGCAAUCGAACCCCUCACGGGAUGUGUUUACACUCUAAUUGCUCAAUGUUUAGGGUAUAAUCACUCAAUUCUCCUCUAAUCAUGUUCUCUAGGAUUUGUUCUUUAUCUAACAAUCAACAAGUACUUAAUGCAUGAAUGCAAAUAUCAUAAGGUCUUUGAAGGGUUGUAAUAGGAUUAGAAUUAAGGUAGGAUAGAUGAGUAUAGUCAAGUGGACUAAUACAUUAAAUCCAUGAUUAGCUUAAGUAUCCACCUAACCUAUUUCAACCUAAUCACUACAAUACAAUUCUAACUACCCACUACUUUCUUUUUACCUACAUUCAUGCAUCUUUACUCAUUUAAUUCACAUUUGCAUUCUUUAUUCAAUUUUUUUCAUUUUCUUUGGGAUAACUUUUGUCCCUUUUUUGUU